rnacentral:sRNA from 1 species
AGUUAAAUAUGGAGGAUGAGGGGAAGAUAUCAAGAAUAACGGCUAGGUUUUUAGAACAGGUUUUGUAGCUUGGGGGAGAAGAAACAAUUGUACAUAUUGGUCUGAGGGACCUGUGGAAGAUUCAGGUUAUGUCUAGUGGGUAGUUAGAUACAGCAGAGAAAUAGGAGCCAUCUGGCCCCAACACAGUAGAUUCGUGAACCACCAGGGUAUAAGCAAUAACUGAGGCCAAUAGAGUCCUUUAUAGCUUUGAAAUUUAAAAUUAUUUCCUCAUAGCUCAUUUUGUUCACAAUUUGUGAGAUUUUUAGGAAGAGGACUAUUAAGAGCCACCUCGUACAUCUCAUCCUGUAGUGAAGUUUUCCUGUACAGACUGUGAACCAAUGGUUAUUGAUAAACUUCCUUUUGACAAAUAUGAGUUGGAACCUUCACCACUGACUCAAUUUAUCCUGGAAAGGAAAUCUCCUCAAACAUGUUGGCAGGUGUACGUGAGCAAUAGUGCAAAAUACAGUGAACUUGGUCAUCCUUUUGGUUACUUGAAAGCCAGUACAGCACUGAACUGUGUCAACUUAUUUGUGAUGCCUUACAAUUAUCCAGUCCUUCUUCCCCUCUUAGAUGACUUGUUUAAAGUGCAUAAAGCAAAACCAACAUUGAAGUGGAGACAGUCAUUUGAAAGUUAUUUGAAGACAAUGCCUCCCUACUAUCUCGGG